CCUUAUACUAUUUUUUUAAAAUAGUAUUAUUCUAAGUUCAACUUUUUCCCAAUACUGCUAAUUUCUUUACUUUAUUGGGUACUUAAAAAUGUUUAAAUAAUAAAGUGAAGUGGUAUAAUUUCAAAAAAAAAAAAAAAGUAAAAGAGCUGAAAACAGUGUAAGGAAAACAAAAUCAUCCAUAAUCUUCUAGUUCAGAGUUAAUAACAGCUGGUAAAAAUUGGUGUCAUUUUCCUGUAUUUUUCUUUAUCUAAAUAGCUAUCCACACGUGCUGUUCUUUCCUCCAUUUUGUGUGCUUUCAGGAACAAGACUUAAGCAUGGUGAUGAGAACUAAAAAGAGCCAUAACCUUGACACAUAAAGCAGGGCAUCUCUGUGGCUGCUAUGUGUAUAUAUCAGCAAGAGUAACCCAGCAACAGUACACAAACACUGUCCAUAGAGCUGUGCAGGCUGAGUCUUUAGCAUCAACAUCAUCUGCCAGGGAGAAGCAAUGGCAGAAGAGGGCUAAUCAGGCAGAUAGUUCUCUCUCUGUAUAGUGUUGGAAUCAGGACAAAUCCUCACACUCACUUCCUGUGGACUGGGUUUAAGUUCUGAGGGUUCAGGGGUAAUUUUAUUUGAGAGGAGAGAAUGGCUGAAAGAGCAAUAAAUGUUGCUGUUGUUGUUUUCUAAAAAAGUGUAAGGAAAGGUGAUUGAUAGGGAGAGGGGUUGGAGAUGACCAUGUUAUAACCAUAUCUGUUUCCUGAACUUUGAAACAGGUCAUGCUAGGCUGUAGUCUGUUCAAGCUCUUCAUUCUACUGAAGCUCAGAGGAGCAGGAGCUGUAAGGAUCUCUGUAGGAUGUAUUCCUAAAAGCCAAAUGACCCCUCCUUCAACGCUCAAGCCAAGUUCAUUGUCAUCUUGUUCUAUCUUAAAAACAGAACAUAUUUCUUACUGCUUUGCCAAGCAAGAUCUAGCUUAUAAACUAAUGAAAAUCAGGAAACUUCCUCUUUUUCUUCAAACACAUAUAUCUUCAUUCAUCUGAGCUAUGUUUUUCUGACUUUUGGGAUUACAAAAGAAAACACAUAGCCCUUCAUUAAGCAGACUCAGCAAAUAGCACUUCAGUUUCGUAACAAAGCCAGUAUUAUGGCAGAGAAGUCAUGAUGUACAAUACUGCCCAAUUAAUUUCAACAGGUGCAAUAAUAAAAGAUUUCUUUCAUGAUGCUGGUUGACAAAUAUUUAAAGGUAUUUACCUGACUUGCAGUGAACACAUUUCUAUUCCAAGACCAUAAAAAAAAUAAAUCGAAUUUUAAAAAAAUCUUAAAACUGUCUGUAUGGUUACCAAAGAAGGUUAGAAGACUUCAAUAAAGCCUGUUGUUUUUGACUGAAUUCUCACAAUUGCCUUUUUUUGUAAGCUGUCAUAGUUUAACUUCCUUGACCCCUGAAGCUAUCACAGAAAAGAGUUGAAAUUUCUUAUGAAAAAAGUUUCACACAACUAAGAUUUUCAUGGUGUAUCUAGUUGAACAUUAAAAAAAAAAAAUGUUCUUAAUUAGCUACAAUUCUGUAUGGGAAAAACAACCACUAUGAUUACUCAGGGAACAGAUAAGCCUCCCCAUGUUCCUUCUAAAUAACAACAUUGCAUAAGAUAAAAAGAAGAAAACAUCUAUUUUAUUUUGAAGUAAUCACCAAAAGAGCUUGCCUGAUGCGAUUAUAAAAAAGUCCAAUGUGGGCUCAGAGUUAAGUUACUUUUUUAUGUUGAAAGUGCCACUGCAAGGGAGGGAAUGGAAAAAAGGCAGUCCUUUUACAACUUUUUCAAGAUUGCAAGGCAGUGCUGCGAACAUCAGAGGCUACAUUCAGCUCCUUGGCUAGGACAAAGGCAAGGCCAGAACCAAGUGGAUGCAGAAUGAAUAAAGAAAAUGCCUGGUAUUCAAGGGCCAACUCUCAGCUGGGCUUCAGGAUUGCCAUUUCAGUUUUCAAGGGUAGAGAAAUCUACCUAUGUUUGCGAAAAUUUGUGUAUUUCUACUGUGAGUGGAAAAUGGCUUCGUCCUUUGCUUAUUUGGUCUCUGAUCUUCAAUUUCUCCAUCUGGAAGGAGGAAAAAGCAGAUAGAGAAAAACUACCAUGGGGCAAGUUUUUAUUUUGUUUUCUCUCUCUUUUUUAAAAAUUUGUAUUGGACUAGAGGUCAAAACUGAUUUGGACUGAAAAGUACUGGCAUGGCAGAAAAAGUCUCCAUUGAAGGAAGUCGUGAUGGAUGUCCUCCUGAUUUUGUUCACACUGUUGUCCACAAACCUCUUGUUCAAAUUCCUGCCCAAGUCUGGCUCUGCCGGGAGACUUUCCCAGACAACCUCACCCCAAAGUGAUCUUCUGAAUCAUAUCACUUACCACUGACAAUGCCUAUUUGUCAUUAAAUGCUUAUGGUCUUGAAUUAGCUCUGGGGGAUGUUGUUUGACAUGACUGAAACUUUCUAGUGAAGAAUUUCAGCAGAAAAGUGAAACCAUGUAUCUGCUACUCAAAGAAAAGUUCAGUCCAGAGAUAUAAAGGUGGAAAUCAUAAAAAAAAAAAAAAGUGGUGAUUGAAACCAGAAAAAUUAAUGAGAGUACAUAAACAAAGAAAUGCAAAGCAAGAAAGAAGAGAAUUUGAAGAGGGUUCUGAAGAAGGCCACUACUUAAGAAGAAUAGAAUAGAAAAAUUAGUGAAAGAGGAAUUUGCAGGGUCAGAAAAGCAGAAAGAAUGUUGCUUUUUGUAAUCUUUUACAGAAGAAGAAAUUGUGUAAUUGGUGAUUUCAGCAUUUUCCAGAACAUUUACCACAAUUCUUUGCACAUAGUAUAUGCCCUAAAUAUUUACUUGGUGCACAAGACAUGAGGAAUAAAUUCACAUAAAUAUUUUUAUUAUUUUUCUUUUGAUUGUUAUGUUCUUAGCAAUCACCCCCGUGCCACUCCUAUUCCUUUUUUUUUAAUUCCAUCUUUUCUGAGAAGUCACUGCGGGGUUUCUGUUAUUGGCAGACUCUAACCUCUAGGGGGAGCUCAAGGAGAGGAGGACUGAAUAAGGGUCACGUCUAAGGCUACAUUGGGUCAUGGUAGUAGUAGACUGAGUUUUUGGUGAAUUAGCAGGGAAUUAGAAGGAAUUAGCCUCCACUAGGCUGAAUCGUUAAUUCUUUUGAAAUCUCGCCUUUUUAAAAAUUUCACAUGACAGAGAGCAGAUCCAGGCUUGACUCUUACUUGGAAAAACUGCCCUAACCUGAAAAAACUGUAGGGUAGAAUUCAAGGUUUAAAAAUAAUGGCCAAAAGACUGCAUUUCACUCAAGAAAUAGCCUAGAAAGGCUGAAGUCAUGAAGAGCAGGAAAGAAUAAAGCAAGAAGAAAAGGUCACCAUAGGAUCAGGCUGUCUGUUUAAAUACUGAAAAGACAAGGACCAAUAGCAUAUUGAAGUUCCUGGGCCAGGGAUCCAGUUUGCACUACAGCAGUGACCCGAGCCAUGGCAGUAACAAUGCAAGAUCCUUAACCAGCUGAGCCCCCAGGUAACUUUUGUUUUUCAUUUUAUCCAUGUACCACACAAGUCUUGGAGCUACCUCUGCAGUCCUACUUUGUUGGGUGGCAACCUCCUUGGGAGCGUCCCAGGUGUCACCUGAAACCAACCCAGUAUACAGAGGGCAGGGAGAGAGCAAAGAAAAGAGGCAGACCAACUCUACAUUGGUAGGUGACAAGUUUAAUAAGCAAGGGAGCUGAAUUUAUGAAGCUUAUGUUGGGCAGCCCAGGAUGACUAGAUCUAGC